rnacentral:rRNA from 1 species
AUGGCGGCGGAGGGAGAGGCCCUCAUGGCAGCGGAGAGGGCAGAGACGUCGACUGCACCGGCGGUGGCGACGGAAUCAGGAGCAAACGGGAAACCGGCGGCGAGCGGGAAGCCAGCGAUGGUGCUGGGGAUCGACGAGAGCGAGCACAGCUACUACGCGCUGGAAUGGACGAUCCACCAUUUCUUCGCCCCCGGCCAGCCGCAGCAGUACCACCUCAUCGUGGUCAGCGCCAAGCCCCCUGCCUCCUCCGUCAUCGGCAUUGCCGGCAUAGGCACGGCGGAGCUGCUCCCGAGGGUGGAGCUCGACCUCAAGCGCGCCUCCGCCAGAGUCAUCGACAAGGCCAAGGAGCACUGCUCACAUGUGACCGAUGUCAGCUAUGAAGUGAAAGAGGGCGACGCGAGGAAUGUGCUGUGCGAGGCAGUUGAGAGGCACCAUGCAGACAUGCUGGUUAUGGGCAGCCAUGGCUACGGUGCUUUCAAGAGGGCCGUCCUUGGGAGCGUGAGCGAUUACUGCACUCACAACGCGCACUGCACCGUGAUGAUAGUGAAGAAACCAAAGCACCAUAAGAAGCAUGAACAAUUGGGGUUCCACAGAAAGGAGGCUUGA